rnacentral:tRNA from 6 species
GGGCGGUUAGCUCAGCGGUAGAGCACUACGUUGACAUCGUAGGGGUCACUGGUUCGAACCCAGUACCGCCCACCA